UCGAGAAUAAUUCACAAUGGGGGAAACCCUGAUGGUGCAACGCCGCGUGGAGGAUGAAGGUCUUCGGAUUGUAAACUCCUGUCAUCGGGGAGUAAGACCUGACGGUAAAUAGCCGGCAGGGUUGAUAGUACCCGAAGAGGAAGGGACGGCUAACUUCGUGCCAGCAGCCGCGGUAAUACGAAGGUCCCAAGCGUUGUUCGGAAUCACUGGGCGUAAAGGGAGCGUAGGCGGCGUGGUAAGUCAGAUGUGAAAUCCCGGGGCUCAACCCCGGAACUGCAUCCGAUACUGCCGUGCUUGAGGGUUGGAGAGGUAGCUGGAAUUAUCGGUGUAGCAGUGAAAUGCGUGGAUAUCGAUAGGAACACUCGUGGCGAAGGCGAGCUACUGGACAACAUCUGACGCUGAGGCUCGAAGGCUAGGGGAGCAAAAG
rnacentral:rRNA from 1 species